rnacentral:rRNA from 1 species
UACGUAGGGGGCAAGCGUUGUCCGGAAUCAUUGGGCGUAAAGAGCGUGUAGGCGGCUUGGUAAGUCCGCUGUGAAAGUCCAGGGCUCAACCCUGGAAUGCCGGUGGAAACUGUCAAGCUUGAGUCCGGAAGAGGCGAGUGGAAUUCCUGGUGUAGCGGUGAAAUGCGCAGAUAUCAGUCGGAACACCGGUGGCGAAGGCGGCUUCUUGGGCCCUACCUGACGCUGAGGCGCGAAAGCCAGGGGAGCGAACGGG